rnacentral:rRNA from 1 species
UACAGAGGGGGGCAAGCGUUGUUCGGAAUUACUGGGCGUAAAGGGCGCGUAGGCGGCCUGCUAAGUCGAACGUGAAAUCCCUGGGCUCAACCCAGGAACUGCGUCCGAUACUGGAUGGCUUGAGUUCGGGAGAGGGAUGCGGAAUUCCAGGUGUAGCGGUGAAAUGCGUAGAUAUCUGGAGGAACACCGGUGGCGAAGGCGGCAUCCUGGACCGAUACUGACGCUGAGGAGCGAAAGCCAGGGGAGCAAACGGG